GUGCUCUGGUCCAGGCAGCACUGACUCAGCCGCCCUCAGUGUUAGCAAAGCUAGGACAAACUGUCCAGAUGACCCACUCCUGGCUUUACAGCAGGAGCUAUGGUUUUGGCUGGUACCAGCAGAAGGUACCCAGCACUGCCCCUGUCACUGUCAUCUACAACAAUGACAAGAGACCCUCGGACAUCCCUUCGCGAUUCUCCGGCUCCAAGUCCGGCUCCACGGCCACGUUAACCAUCACUGGGGUCCAAGCCGAGGACGAGGCCGUCUAUUACUGUGGUGCCUAUGACAGCAGCUAUGUUGGUGUCUUUGGCAGUGGGACCCAGCUGACCGUUCUAGGUCAGCCCAAGGCUUCCCCCAACGUCCACCUCUUCCCACCGUCCUCCAAGGAGCUCUCGACGCAGAGCAAAGCCAUCCUGGUGUGUCUGCUGGGAGACUUCUACCCCGGUGCCAUGUGGGUGGCCGUGCCCUCAGCAGUGGCAUCGAGACCAGCCAGCCCCAGCGGCAGACCAACGAGUACAUGGCCAGCAGCUACCUGGUGCUGGGUGCUGCUAACUGGAAGAUCCAUGAGACCCACACCUGCAAGGUCACGCAUGAGACUGCCACCAUCAAGAAGGUCCUGAAUAGAUCUGAGUGCUCCUAA